GACGAACGCUGGCGGCGUGCUUAACACAUGCAAGUCGAACGGUAAGGCCCUUCGGGGUACACGAGUGGCGAACGGGUGAGUAACACGUGGGUGAUCUGCCCUGCACUUCGGGAUAAGCCUGGGAAACUGGGUCUAAUACCGGAUAGGACCACUGCCUGCAUGGGGGGUGGUGGAAAGCUUUUGCGGUGUGGGAUGGGCCCGUGGCCUAUCAGCUUGGUGGUGGGGUGAUGGCCUACCAAGGCGAAGACGGGUAGCCGGCCUGAGAGGGUGACCGGCCACACUGGGCCUGAGAUACGGCCCAGACUCCUACGGGAGGCAGCAGUGGGGAAUAUUGCACAAUGGGCGCAAGCCUGCUGCAGCGACGCCGCGUGAGGGAUGACGGCCUUCGGGUUGUAAACCUCUUUCAGCACCGACGAAGCGCAAGUGACGGUAGGUGCAGAAGAAGGACCGGCCAACUACGUGCCAGCAGCCGCAGUAA
rnacentral:rRNA from 1 species